rnacentral:rRNA from 1 species
CCUACGGGAGGCAGCAGUGGGGAAUAUUGCACAAUGGGGGAAACCCUGAUGCAGCGACGUCGCGUGAGUGAAGAAGUAUCUCGGUAUGUAAAGCUCUAUUAGCAGGGAAGAAAAUGACGGUACCUGAAUAAGAAGACCCGGCUAACUACGUGCCAGCAGCCGCGGUCAUAAGUAGGGGGCAAGCGGUAUCCGGAUUUACUGGGUGUAAAGGGGGCGUAGGUGGGAGGGCAAGUCAGAUGUGAAAACUCGGGGCUCAACCCCGGGAGUGCAUUUGAAACUGUCCAGCGUGAGUGCAGGAGAGGUAAGCGGAAUUCCUAGUGUAGCGGUGAAAUGCAUAGAUAGUAGGAGGAACACCAGUGGCGAAGGCGGCUUACUGGACUGUAACUGACGCUGAGGCUCGAAAGCGUGGGGAGCAAACAGGAUUAGAUACCCGUGUAGUC